GUCUGGGUGUGGUGGCUCAUGCUUGUAAUCCCAACGAAUCAGGAGACUGAGGUAGGAGAAUUGCUUGAGCCCAGGAGUUUGAGGCUGCAGUGAGCUAUGAUUGCAUCUCUGAAUAGCCACUGCACUCCAGCCUGGGCAACACAGUGAGAUUCUGUCUCUA
rnacentral:SRP_RNA from 1 species